GAUGAACGCUGGCGGCGUGCCUAAUACAUGCAAGUCGAGCGAACAGACGAGGAGCUUGCUCCUCUGACGUUAGCGGCGGACGGGUGAGUAACACGUGGAUAACCUACCUAUAAGACUGGGAUAACUUCGGGAAACCGGAGCUAAUACCGGAUAAUAUAUUGAACCGCAUGGUUCAAUAGUGAAAGACGGUUUUGCUGUCACUUAUAGAUGGAUCCGCGCCGCAUUAGCUAGUUGGUAAGGUAACGGCUUACCAAGGCAACGAUGCGUAGCCGACCUGAGAGGUGGAUCGCCCACACGGGAAUGAGACAAGGGCCCGACCCCCAAGGGGGGGCAGCAGAAGGAAUUUUUCGCAAAUGGGCGAAACCCGACGGAGCAAACGCGGGGGGGGUAAAGAGGGUCUUGGAGUCGAAAAACCUUUUAUUUAGGAAAAAAAAAUUGGUAAAUAAAUUUUCACCUUUUGACGUGAACUAAAACGAAAAGCCCGGGUUAAUUCGUU
rnacentral:rRNA from 1 species